CCACUUCAAUCUUUAACCGAAAGCCCCUAUAUGUAGGGGGCUGGUUCGUCCAGCUAUGGUGAUAAACGCACGUGUAAUAAGCGGAUCGGACCCGGGGGCGGUACCCGGCGCCUCCACCCCAGCAGCCCCUCAGGGCUUUUGCGGCGGGGGCGAAAUAGGAUCGACGGACGUGUAAAGACGGAGCUUUUGCCCGGCAUGAUACCGCCGUUAUCGGGUCAAUCCUAUAAGUGCGAACGAUAAUGACGUAGCACUCGCGGCCUAGUAGAAUAGGCACGCGCGGUCCGGAGGGGCACCGGGCAACAGAAGCCCCUCCACC
rnacentral:tmRNA from 1 species